UCUUCUUUGCAGCAACUGCAGCGCGCGCCUCGCGCGCCUGGGCCAGCACCUGGGCAUAGGCCUCGGGGUGCUGGUCCUCGAAAGCAGGG
rnacentral:tRNA from 1 species